AAAUAUGAAACUCUGAAAUAUAACAAUUUUGGCCAAACCCGCAUGUUGUUUACUAGGAUUUUAAAACCAUAUGUGUAGGCAGGGUGUGGUGGGUCACGUCUAUAAUUUAGCCAGCACUUUGGGAGGCCAAGGCCAGAGGAUUGCUUGAGCCCAGGAGUUCAAGACCAGCCUGGGCAACGUGGCAAAACCCCAUCUCUACAAAAAAUAUAAAAAUUAGUUGGGUGUGGUGGCAUACACCUGUAGUCCCAGCUACUCAGGAGGCUGAGAUGAGAGGAUCGCUUGUGUCUGAGAGGUCAAGGCUGCAGCAAGCCAUGAUUGCACCACUGCACUCCAGACUGGGCAACAGAACAAGACCCUGUCUCAGAAUUGUAUAUAUGUAUGUAUGUGUGUGUGUGUGUGUGUGUAUAGUAUAUAUAUAUAUAUGUAUGUGUAUGUAUGUGUGUAUAUGUAUGUGUAUAUAUGUAUGUGUGUAUAUAUGAGUGUGUGUGUGUGUGUGUGUCUCCAAUAAAUCUUGUUAAAGGUAAUGGGUAGCAAGAGUUAUCUCAAGUAAGUGUUUCCCGGUUUCACCAUUUUUCCCCCUUUUGAUCACAGUGUUAGAAACAGGGAAAUGGACUUAGGAUUAGCAUAGUGAGGAUCUGUGAGGGAACUUUGCAUGUACAUGUGAACAGUCUUUCCAUCCCCAGAUCUUUGGGACCUGUGUGAUGAGAGCGGAACACGUUGGUCUAAGUUUUCUGUGACUUGAGUAUCAUUCUGCUAUUAACUCCCUAGGAGUAUUUUAUGCUUUCUUGUGGUCCCCAAUCAAUCUGUAAGUUAAGUGAGUUAAGAAAGUUAAAACCAGUUUUCUUUUGACUCUUUUAGCGAAACCUUGAAAGCCAUUUGAUGUCCCCUGCUGAGAUUCCAGGCCAGCCUGUCCCUAAGAACAUCCUGCAGGAACUUCUGGGUCAACCAGUUCAGAGACCUGCUUCUUCCAAUCUUCUGAGUGGCCUUAUGGGGAGCUUGGAGCCUACAACAUCUUUACUGGGCCAAAGAGCACCCUCUCCUCCCUUGUCACAGGUGUUUCAAACUCGAGCAGCCUCAGCUGACUACCUUCGCCCAAGAAUACCAUCACCAAUUGGUUUCACACCAGGACCACAGCAGCUACUCGGAGAUCCAUUCCAAGGCAUGCGCAAACCCAUGAGCCCCAUCACGGCCCAGCAGAUGAGCCAGCUGGAGUUGCAACAGGCAGCUUUAGAAGGGCUGGCCUUGCCACAUGACCUUGCUGUACAGGCAGCAAACUUCUACCAGCCUGGUUUUGGCAAACCACAGGUGGACAGAACCAGAGAUGGAUUCAGAAACAGGCAACAGCGAGUGACCAAGUCACCAGCACCCGUGCAUCGAGGGAAUUCCUCUUCCCCUGCCCCUGCUGCCUCCAUCACAAGCAUGCUUUCUCCUUCCUUUACCCCUACCUCAGUGAUUCGUAAGAUGUACGAGAGCAAAGAGAAAAGCAAGGAGGAGCCAGCAUCUGGAAAAGCAGCUCUUGGUGACAGUAAAGAGGAUACUCAGAAGGCCAGUGAAGAAAACCUCCUGUCAUCCAGCUCUGUACCCAGUGCCGAUCGAGACUCUUCUCCCACUACAAAUUCCAAACUGUCAGCAUUACAGAGGUCUUCGUGUUCCACCCCACUGUCCCAGACCAACCGUUACACCAAAGAACAAGAUUAUCGACCUAAAGCAACUGGGAGAAAAACACCCACCUUGGCAUCCCCAGUUCCUACAACACCUUUUCUCCGCCCUGUCCACCAAGUUCCCCUUGUCCCCCAUGUCCCUAUGGUUAGGCCUGCUCACCAGCUUCACCCAGGGUUGGUACAGAGGAUGCUGGCCCAGGGAGUACAUCCACAGCAUCUUCCAAGUUUGCUCCAAACUGGUGUGCUUCCUCCUGGGAUGGACUUGAGUCAUUUACAGGGAAUAUCUGGCCCCAUCCUGGGUCAGCCCUUUUACCCUUUACCUGCUGCUAGUCACCCUCUCUUAAACCCUCGUCCUGGAACACCUCUGCAUCUGGCAAUGGUGCAACAGCAGCUACAGCGCUCAGUUCUGCAUCCUCCAGGCUCUGGUUCCCAUGCAGCAGCUGUCAGCGUUCAGACAACCCCUCAGAACGUGCCCAGCCGGUCAGGCCUGCCCCACAUGCACUCCCAGCUGGAGCAUCGCCCCAGCCAGAGGAGCAGCUCCCCUGUGGGCCUUGCCAAAUGGUUUGGCUCAGAUGUGCUACAGCAACCCCUGCCCUCCAUGCCCGCCAAAGUUAUCAGUGUAGAUGAAUUGGAAUACCGACAGUGAGCAGGGCAGGCAGACUCAACUAAGCCCGGACCUGUGGUGGCACACUGGGCAGGACCCUGCUUCAUCUCGGGUUGGUUUAUGGGCUUUUACUUUGGAGCACUCUGUGUGAAGCUGUUUGGUGGAACCCAUGCAUCUGGUGUGGUCCGCGUUAUGAUGGGAGGAUCUUAACCAGUCGAGUGGAGUGUACAUUGUCUGAAUACAGGAUGCACAAUGUUGUCAAUCCUGGAAAUGGUCUUUCUUUUUUGUAAGAUAUGUGAAUGAAGUGUUGGUGUCCUCACCAAGAGGUGGCACCUAAGGGUUCUGAGGAAAUAAAUGUAUAGACCCUUAUGUACAGACCUGUGUAUAAACAACUUUUGUAUAUACAUAUAGGAUAGCUUUUUUGAACUUAUACAGCUGUACAUAAAAGUAGCUGAUAUUAGUUAGGCCUGUGUCAACAGUUUGGAUUUUUUUCACUUGUACAUUUGGGAUUUUCUUUUGGUUGAUUAAAAUUGCAUAUGCUAAGUGUGUGAAUGAAGU
rnacentral:sRNA from 1 species